CCACGAUAUGGUUUCAGAGUUUAAGCAUUUUGCAACCCAGGCUCUUUACAGCUGGCCUUUCAAGCAGUUAACUCAGAUGACUGGCUAUAUAUGUGGUGUUUAGUGUUACAGUUUCGAGUAUGAAGCAUGAGCUGGUUGGGAAGGGAGCAUGUCAAAGGGUUUACCAGUCUGGGGCCUGGGCUGACGUGGCGGGUUUAUGUUCUGAGUUUGGUCACAUCCCUGGUUAUGACCUGGGGUGUUUUUUCUCUGUGCCCCAAUUUUUCUGCUCAUAAGAGGGCAUCCUAUCCAUGCCUGCUUCACUGAACAUGAAGGGGGUGGGAAAGCAGAGCCUGGUGCCAAGCGGACGCUCAGCAGAUGGAAGCAGGUGUUGUCCACCUACAAGGGAGGCAGAAAGUGGGCCGUUGUCUGAUUAUUCGGGUCAAGAAUUAAAGUGCAAUAUUCAGAGAGGGGACUGGCUUGACAUUUUGAAGUCGUGAACCAGAUCUGCUGAAUGCAGUGCCUGGUCGAAUGCAAACACCUUUAACUGACCUGGCUUUGGAGAAGAGAUGAGCCUGGGUUCGGGUUUCAGCUCCACUCUUGCACAUGGCGCGACCUCCGCAAGGCCCCCUUAGCAGCCACACGCCUGCUGGUCACACUUCCCGUGCAAUCCAGGGUGGGUGUGGUGAGGACUGCAGGGCACUUUAAAGAACCCAGCAUAGUUUGGGGUACAUAAUAAGCAUAUUAAAAUUGGCGUUUGUACUCUGUCCUUUGAUCAUGUAUCAGAAAGAUACAAUAAGUAUUUAGAAGUUUCUAACAGCUGUGUAAUGAAAGUGAGGACCUUGAGUUAGAAAAUGUAAAGAUACCUUAACAUUUAGGGUUGUUCUCACAGUGUUACACAUGAUGCAUUUUGGUUUUUUAUUUCCUUUUUUUUUUUCUGAAUAUGAAGGUGACGCUGACUUUAGAAGCUUAGAAAUUAUAGAGAUGCAUAUAGUAGAAAAGAAUUCUGAUACUUCUCCCCAGAGAUGGCUAAUCAGCAGCUUCUUGAAUGCUGAGCUAAGUAUCAAGUUGAACCUUGGAGAGGGAAGAGGAAAGCUUCAACACGGGCUUGAAAGCAACAGAAAUUUAAAAAGUAAAUCUCCUAAGCAGAGACAUCACUUUGCUGACAAAGGUCUGUAUAGUCAAAGCUAUGGUUUUUCCAGUAGUCAUGUAGAAUGUGACAGCUGGACCAUAAAGGAGGCUGAGUGCUUAAGAACUGAUGCUUUUGAACUGUGGUACUGGAGAGACUCUUGA
rnacentral:lncRNA from 1 species